rnacentral:rRNA from 1 species
AGAGUUUGAUCCUGGCUCAGGACGAACGCUGGCGGCGUGCCUAAUACAUGCAAGUCGAGCGGAUUCCUUCGGGAAUCAGCGGCGGACGGGUGAGUAACACGUGGGCAAUCUGCCUGUUAGACUGGAAUAACGCCUGGAAACGGGUGCUAAUGCCAGAUAGGCAUCUUUGUUGCAUGACAGAGAUGGGAAAGGUGCUUUGGCACUACUGACAGAGGAGCCCGCGGCGCAUUAGCUAGUUGGUGGGGUAACGGCCUACCAAGGCGACGAUGCGUAGCCGACCUGAGAGGGUGACCGGCCACACUGGGACUGAGACACGGCCCAGACUCCUACGGGAGGCAGCAGUAGGGAAUCUUCCGCAAUGGGCGCAAGCCUGACGGAGCAACGCCGCGUGAGCGAAGAAGGCCUUCGGGUUGUAAAGCUCAGUCACUCGGGAAGAGCGGACAGGAGAGGGAAUGCUCCUGUCGAGACGGUACCGGGAGAGGAAGCCCCGGCUAACUACGUGCCAGCAGCCGCGGUAAUACGUAGGGGGCAAGCGUUGUCCGGAAUCACUGGGCGUAAAGCGUGCGUAGGCGGUUUGUUAAGUCUGAAGUGAAAGUCCAGGGCUCAACCUUGGGAUUGCUUUGGAAACUAGCAGACUUGAGUACUGGAGAGGCAAGGGGAAUUCCACGUAGCGGUGAAAUGCGUAGAUAUGUGGAGGAAUACCAGUGGCGAAGGCGCCUUGCUGGACAGAAACUGACGCUGAGGCACGAAAGCGUGGGGAGCAAACAGGAUUAGAUACCCCGGUAGUCC